AUCCCGGGUUUCGGCACCA
rnacentral:ncRNA from 4 species